rnacentral:misc_RNA from 1 species
AUUCUUUAUGUGUUUCUUAUCAAUCAUUGAGCCCUCAAGACCACUGACCAACCGACUUCAUUUCAAUAGCUUUCGUUUCUCUUUCUCACUUUCACUUUUCCUUCUUGCAUAUCACUCCAAACCCAAACCCAAUUAGUCUCCUCUCUCUUUCUUCUUCAUUCAUUUCUUGACUAUUUGGAAUUGAAAGGAUGCUAGCACUGAUUUGAUGGUGAAUCAAUUUUUGGAUCAGCAUCUAGUUCAUUAUCCUCGCAGCAAGAUCUUUAUGGUGUGAUAUUUGGAGCUCAUCCGCAGUUCUCGGGGUAAUAUAAGAAUGUUAAAGUGGGUAACAACUCUUUUGCACCUAAUAUUGAGUACUUGAAUUGAGAUCUACAACUGUGCUAUAUGGGAUAGAGGCCUUCCAAGAUUAUUUCCACAUCCACA